GAUGAACGCUGGCGGCGUGCCUAAUACAUGCAAGUCGAGCGAACGGACGAGAAGCUUGCUUCUCUGAUGUUAGCGGCGGACGGGUGAGUAACACGUGGAUAACCUACCUAUAAGACUGGGAUAACUUCGGGAAACCGGAGCUAAUACCGGAUAAUAUUUUGAACCGCAUGGUUCAAAAGUGAAAGACGGUCUUGCUGUCACUUAUAGAUGGAUCCGCGCUGCAUUAGCUAGUUGGUAAGGUAAUGGCUUACCAAGGCAACGAUGCAUAGCCGACCUGAGGGGGUGAUCGGCCACACUGGAACUGAGACACGGUCCAGACUCCUACGGGAGGCAGCAGUAGGGAAUCUUCCGCAAUGGGCGAAAGCCUGACGGAGCAACGCCGCGUGAGUGAUGAAGGUCUUCGGAUCGUAAAACUCUGUUAUUAGGGAAGAACAUAUGUGUAAGUAACUGUGCACAUCUUGACGGUACCUAAUCAGAAAGCCACGGCUAACUACGUG
rnacentral:rRNA from 1 species